AUUGAACGCUGGCGGCAUGCUUUACGCAUGCAAGUCGAACGGUAACAGGCCGCCAGGUGCUGACGAGUGGCGAACGGGUGAGUAAUGCAUCGGAACGUGCCCAGUCGUGGGGGAUAACUACUCGAAAGAGUAGCUAAUACCGCAUACGAUCUAUGGAUGAAAGCGGGGGGCCGUAAGGCCUCGCGCGAUUGGAGCGGCCGAUGUCAGAUUAGGUAGUUGGUGGGGUAAAGGCUCACCAAGCCAACGAUCUGUAGCUGGUCUGAGAGGACGACCAGCCACACUGGGACUGAGACACGGCCCAGACUCCUACGGGAGGCAGCAGUGGGGAAUUUUGGACAAUGGGCGCAAGCCUGAUCCAGCAAUGCCGCGUGCAGGAAGAAGGCCUUCGGGUUGUAAACUGCUUUUGUACGGAACGAAACGGCUCUGGUUAAUACCCGGGGCUAAUGACGGUACCGUAAGAAUAAGCACCGGCUAACUACGUG
rnacentral:rRNA from 1 species